rnacentral:rRNA from 1 species
GAUGAACGCUGGCGGCGUGCCUAAUACAUGCAAGUCGAGCGAACGGACGAGAAGCUUGCUUCUCUGAUGUUAGCGGCGGACGGGUGAGUAACACGUGGAUAACCUACCUAUAAGACUGGGAUAACUUCGGGAAACCGUAGCUAAUACCGGAUAAUAUUUUGAACCGCAUGGUUCAAAAGUGAAAGACGGUCUUGCUGUCGCUUAUAGAUGGAUCCGCGCUGCAUUAGCUAGUUGGUAAGGUAACGGCUUACCAAGGCAACGAUGCAUAGCCGACCUGAGAGGGUGAUCGGCCACACUGGAACUGAGACACGGUCCAGACUCCUACGGGAGGCAGCAGUGGGGAAUCUUCCGCAAUGGGCGAAAGCCUGACGGAGCAACGCCGCGUGAGUGAUGAAGGUCUUCGGAUCGUAAAACUCUGUUAUUAGGGAAGAACAUAUGUGUAAGUAACUGUGCACAUCUUGACGGUACCUAAUCAGAAAGCCACGGCUAACUACGUG